UACGGGGGGGGGCAAGCGUUUGUUCGGAAUUACUGGGCGUAAAGGGCUCGUAGGCGGCCAACUAAGUCAGACGUGAAAUCCCCAGGCUCAACCUGGGAACUGCGUCUGAUACUGGAUGGCUUGAAUCCGGGAGAGGGAUGCAGAAUUCCAGGUGUAGCGGUGAAAUGCGUAGAUAUCUGGAGGAAUACCGGUGGCGAAGGCGGCAUCCUGGACCGGCAUUGACGCUGAGGCGCGAAAGCUAGGGGAGCAAACAGG
rnacentral:rRNA from 1 species